UGUUGUUGUUAAUGAUGAUGACGACGACGACGACGAUGAUGAGGAUCAUUAUCAUCAUCAUCAUUAUCAUCAUCAUCAUCAUCAUCAUCAUCAUCA
rnacentral:pre_miRNA from 1 species